CCAUUCAAAAUAAAACCUAUUAGUUUAAGGGUUUAGACAUGACGUUCCUUUCGUAGUUACCGAAGCAGUUGCGGCUAACAACGUACAACCAUAUGUUGUUGACCAUGUUAAAUGGGUCUAAUUUUAUAAUAUGUAGAACGAAAUUUCAAGAAGCACAAAAGCAUCAUCACACGUUUGAUCCGGCACAAGUCUUAAGCAUAAAAAAAAACGUAGUCAUUAAUUCGAGUGCAGAUUUAUCUAGCGAGCAUAAAGCUAAUAGUAAACAAUAUUUUCUCAAAGUACCCUCAGUGUAAAUCGCAAGAUUUGACUAGUCUAAGUAAAACAUCUUGUGUGUAAUUAUCAAUAAAACUGACGUCAAAUAAGCCGAUCUAAAAGAAAAGUUUACUGAUUAAUACAAUGCAGUGCUUGAAAUUUUGACCCUAAAUUGCAGAUUAAUUUCUAUACAGACGCUAUUCAGUACCUAUUUUGAUGAUUUUGACUGAAAAUGGGGAACGGCUAGUUCAUUUUUAUAGCCUACAAACGACAAAAGAUGAAAAGACAUUUCACUCCGUUAAAUUAUUAGAAUUAUUUAGCAAUCGUAACCGGACUAUAACGAUUCUGUCAUUAUUUAACGGUUAUUCAAUUUAAAAUCACUACAGACUGUUUGCGUUAAAUAAAUUUAAAUAUGUAUACGUUAAUUAAACAAAAAUAGUGCCACGUAUAAGUAAAUCGGUUUGUUCGACGUAACGCCAUAGGGUGAGCUGUCAAUGGAUAGUAACGAAACUUAUUCCGUACCUAAUGUGUAACUGAAGAUGACUGGUUAUUGUCAGUUACUGUACAAGACUCUCUAUUUGUAUUGUUGUCAGGGGAGGCCGAGUCUAAUAAACGGACAUUUAAUGAAUAUAAAGUGUUAGGUAAUAAAGGUUUUUCCAUCGUCCGCUUUUAAUACUCAAAACAUAACAGUAAACAUAUAUUUAUUUCAUUGACCGUAUAAAAUAGGUACAAAGUAAACUAAAGUAAUAAGAAAUAAAGUAAAUUACUCUCCACAUGGAUGACCUCCAUGGCUCUUUCGUAAAAACAACACAACAAAACAUUAUUUGCUAGACUUCGUGGAUUCUUUCAUUUUGUAUUCAUCUCUGCAGUUAAAAACAUUAAAAUUACAUUUGUAAUUUGCGAGCUAACGAAGAUUUAUAAGACUUUUGGUAACCCAGAACGACUGAUUGUGACGCGGGUAGCGCAUUUACUUCAAAGUUAUUUAGAGUAUUGCAACGCUAGGCAUAUAAGACGUCAUAUUAUCGCGACAGCCGUACCUCGCUCGAACGGCCGAGACAGAGUAUAUUAAUGGGAUAUGCAUAUACCUAGUAUCCAGCAAAGCAGGUGAUAGCACUGUCAACAAAACAGCCGCAGUACCCAAUGAGGUGUUUUUCGGAUACAGGAUUCGAGUGAUGCAAUUGUUGACGAUAAUUUAUAAAAUCCUAUCGAUGUCACAGCAUUAAGGAAUGAUGGAAAAGGUAUGAUGGAACGGCUUGCGUAGAAAAUAUGUAGCCAAGGAUUCAUAUAGAGGAGUAACCGGAUGUUGUCGAUGAAAGCUUCCGCAUCAGGUCCUAACGAGUUCCAGGAGUAACUCGUGACGCAGGACGGCCGGAUGUUGUCGCCCUGGCAAUCCUGGCAUUGAUGGCGCCACCACGACGACGAUACUGGCAACACUUCGCGUGACGUACAUCCGCAACUGUCAAACCCGACGUUAUAAAAGGGCAAGCACGAGGCAGUAACGGGCACUUGCCGUCUAGCAGCCACGAACUACGGAGCUACAAACCUGUUCAGUGUACUAUAUUGGUGAUUUAAGUAUAACGUAUCUAAUCUGUUGUCAUAUCAUUCACGGGUGUAUUAAGUAUAAUGUGGUCCGUACAUUAUACUUAAUACAAUCAGUCUAUAUCUUGUAUUGAUGUUUUGGAUUAAUAAAUAAAUGUAUAAAUGUUGUCUUGGUGUUUA